UAUGCUUAACACAUGCAAGUCGAACGGCAGCACGAGAGAGCUUGCUCUCUUGGUGGCGAGUGGCGGACGGGUGAGUAACGCGUAAGAAUCUGCCUAGUAGUGGGGGAUAACUCGGGGAAACUCGAGCUAAUACCGCAUACGCCCUACGGGGGAAAGUGGGGGACCUUCGGGCCUCACGCUAUUAGAUGAGCUUGCGUUGGAUUAGCUAGUUGGUGAGGUAAUGGCUCACCAAGGCGACGAUCCAUAGCUGGUCUGAGAGGACGAUCAGCCACACUGGGACUGAGACACGGCCCAGACUCCUACGGGAGGCAGCAGUGGGGAAUAUUGGACAAUGGGCGCAAGCCUGAUCCAGCAAUACCGCGUGUGUGAAGAAGGCCUGCGGGUUGUAAAGCACUUUCAAUUGUGAAGAAAAGCUUGGGGUUAAUAGCCCCGAGUCUUGACGUUAACUUUAGAAGAAGCACCGGCUAACUCUGUGCCAGCAGCCGCGGUAAUACAGAGGGUGCGAGCGUUAAUCGGAAUUACUGGGCGUAAAGCGUGCGUAGGCGGUUUAGUAAGUCAGAUGUGAAAGCCCUGGGCUUAACCUGGGAACUGCAUUUGAAACUGCUGAACUAGAGUGUGGUAGAGGGAAGUGGAAUUCCGGGUGUAGCGGUGAAAUGCGUAGAUAUCCGGAGGAACACCAGUGGCGAAGGCGACUUCCUGGACCAACACUGACGCUGAGGUACGAAAGCGUGGGUAGCAAACAGGAUUAGAUACCCUGGUAGUCCACGCCGUAAACGAUGUCAACUAGUUGUUGGGAGCAUUCUGGCUUUUAGUAACGUAGCUAACGCGAUAAGUUGACCGCCUGGGGAGUACGGCCGCAUGGUUAAAACUCAAAGGAAUUGACGGGGGCCCGCACAAGCGGUGGAGCAUGUGGUUUAAUUCGAUGCAACGCGAAG
rnacentral:rRNA from 1 species